CAAUGGUUGCUUCAGAAGCUGGUUUGCUUUUGCCGUCUGUUCUCGGACGUUAAGUAAUUGGGCGGUCCCUGAGGCUGCCUCUUAACAAGACACAGGUUUGGCUAAUUUGAAUUGUGUUCCAAUCUCUACGUCUGUGCGUGACGCCAAAUUUUUUCACCCCGACCCGCCUAAUCCCUGAAGGAGAAGUGAAUGAGUUAAAAGGACUUCAAGAGGAGACCUUUCAUUUAAGAGGUUGAUGAAGCUCAGUUCCAGAAACGCUGAUGUUACACACCCAGUAUAAAAGUCACAGUUGGUAAAAGUCACACAGCCAGGAGAUCACGGGGAAAGCCAGCCCUCCUGCCCAGGUCUUCUAAGUCAACGUGCAGGAUUUUUUCCUCACUCUCUCAGGGUGCCUCUCGAUCUAUAAUUCAUCCUCAGUAUCUAGCAUGGUGCCUGGGACAUAACGCCCACUGAAUAUUAUCUGUUGAAAGCUUGAAUGACAAGCCAUGCUGCAAGGCUGGAUAGAAAUGACUGAUGAAUAGAGAGCUGUUCUCCCUGCCUUGGUGAGUGUAUUUAUGGAGCACACCAGUUUGUGUACCUGUAACAGCUUUAGUAAAUCUGGAUUAUUUUAAUCUGUUUUAUCAAAGCACC